rnacentral:rRNA from 1 species
UAGGAAAUCUUCGGCAAUGGGGGCAACCCUGACCGAGCAACGCCGCGUGAGUGAAGAAGGUUUUCGGAUCGUAAAGCUCUGUUGUAAGUCAAGAACGGGUGUGAGAGUAGAAAGUUCACACUGUGACGGUAGCUUACCAGAAAGGGACGGCUAACUACGUGCCAGCAGCCGCGGUAAUACGUAGGUCCCGAGCGUUGUCCGGAUUUAUUGGGCGUAAAGCGAGCGCAGGCGGUUUGAUAAGUCUGAAGUUAAAGGGCUGUGGCUCAACCAUAGUUCGCUUUGGAAACUGU